ACAACGAUUAGUAUAUUUUUAAACUCUGAACGAAGUAGACGUGAAAUUUUGAAAAAUUGAUAGAAAAGGCGAUCAAGGCAUUGGUUUAAAGAGAUUCACUUUAUUCUUUGGAAUUAUGAAUACUAGUCAAGGACUUACUGUAAAAAUAUAUUACGCAUGCCUUGAAAAUAAUCAUUGUUCAUGCGAACCAGUCUAUGAUAUUGUGAUGAUAAAAGCCGGCGAGGUAGAGAAAAGGAAAUACACUAAUACAACGUAUGAAUUGACCAUGUCCGGAGUUGGUACGUAAAAAAAAAAUCUUUCAGCUCGCUGUUUGGGGUCACCAUUCACAUUGAACUAUAUAAACGAUAAAAUUAAUACUUCGGAAUAAUAUAAAGAACAAACAAUCAUCAAGAUUUAGUUGACAAUAAAAGAAAAUGGAUAUAGUAAAGGAAAUGUUAUUGCAGAAAAGAUAGAGCAGAUAUUUUAUAAGAGUUUUUCGAAAAUUGAGUAAAAUUUUUUUUACAGUCUGGUAUGACUGAUUAGUAAGUUAUUGAAAGUUGUUAUUAGUCCUUAUACUCGUUAUUAGUCAUUAUCGUAACUUCAAUCGCAUUUUUUGUAACAACAUGGAAAACAUUAAAUGAGUAUUUCUGGAAAUAAUAUUUUCCAGAUUGUUCGUAUAUUUUUUUGAAAAAUUAUUGGACCAAUCGAUUUGAAAUUUUAUAAAAAUAAUAAGUAAAUCUAUAUAAAACUAUAGAUGGAACUAAUAUUAUAUCGAGUUUGGAUAUUUUUCUUUUGUCCUCUUAUUUUGAUGAAAAAUUUUUCCAGAAAAUUGUACUUUGAUUUCAAUGAUUUGGUUAGUUAUCAAGUGAAAACUGUACUCAUAUAAAUUAAAAAAAACUUUGGUUUUUUGUUUCAAACAAAUAGAAUGACUGCAACGACGAAUUUAUUUUCCAUGACGUAAGAUGUAGUACGUAAGACCUAAAGAAAUUCACCAAUCAGAAUUGUUCAUUCCCCUCCACCUUUUACAACUGCAAUAUACAAGUUAUAGCAUUAAAAAAUUUUACAAGGAUGAAUAUUUCUUACAGCUAACGGUCCAACUAAUCACAUGCCUUUUUGCAUAUAAACUUGUUGUUAUUUCAAAUUUUAUGAAGGUAAUCUUAUAUGUAUCUCUUAUAUAUUGCAAUUAGAAUUAUGAAGAACAUUCUGUUUUAAUGUUUUAAUAAAACAUAAAUGCAUUAAAAAAAACGAUGAUGCAGCAUUUGAUGUAUGAGAAUUGUAUAUUUUCGUAUGAUUUCCUCGAUGAUGACUGUAAUUGGACGAAGUUAAUGACUUAAGGUAGUCGUAAAUAUGAUGACGUUUACGUAGAAACAACUUACGGUUUUCAUCUUACAUUUUACAUCGAUGCUUGUUUAUAAUAUUAAAUAAAUAUUAAUGUACGUAGUAGUAUUUUCAAGGUCACACGGUAAAAGAUCGAUACAUCGAUCUCUUUGUCCGUUCGUACUGAGACUGCCCCAAGGCAUUGGCGUGAGAUGAUAGGGAUACCUUCUGUCCACGUGUACAGAUUUGCUGUACUCUCACUGUUUUCGUCGAUACCAGUGACACUCAUCCUGCGGCUACUAGUUCUAUACUGAUUUAUAAAUCCUCGAACAAUAAUAAAAAUAAAACGGAAGUUAAAAACCCUGGUGCAGAUAACAACGACAUUAGUAAUUUUCAGUCCAGAAGUACUACCUUAUUCCAGCUCUAUAUUCUAAACUUUUUAAUUUUUGUGACAUUUCUCGCCUUAAAUGUGAAUUUAUUGUCUUUUGGUGUGAAAGACAUGAAAGAUGAAAUAAUUAUAUACGUGAAUAAUUAGAAUCGAAUUGAUUGCGAGUACAAUUCAACAAUUUACUUUUAGAAACAAAGCUUAUACAUACUUUAUAUGUUUAUGUACAUUGUGAAUUUCAAAUAUUAGGUAAUAUCAAGUAUAUAUUAUGUACUUUUAUCUUUACAACAAGUAACAAUAUUGUUUGUUUGAUAUAAAGUGAUUGUAUAAAGUGAUCCUACAAAAAACUUUAUUCUUAUGAAUUAAUAAUAAUUAUUUUAUUAAUCAUUUUACUUAUUACAAUAUAUAAUUUCUAUAAAAUUAAAAGGUUGAAAAUAAUUUUUCAAGGUAUAAUUUUAUCUUGUCGACAAAUAAACAUGAAGGUAGUAUCGACUCGAAUGCAACUUACGAUGACCAACUGUGUCUCAUACGGUGUUGCCAAAUCCUUACGUGGAUUUGUUACACAUUCUUUCAUUACAACGUUGCCAGAUAUUAUGCUUGCCUUCUGUAUAUUUUUUGUGAAAUACUAAUGCGAUUUAGAAAUAAAUUGUUCACAUAUUUAUCU